ACUUUAGUAGGAGUAUUCCAACGAAGCAAAGUAGAAACAAAGAUGCUGGUCUUGCUAACUGCACUAGUGGUAGCUGCAAUACUGGGUACAACAACAGCCGAUGAGGAAAUUCCGUGGAUCAACGAAGUACCAACCAAAACUAAAAUACCAUUCGAUGAGGCUACACAAGCAGUGGAAUUAAAAGUAAAAUGGGGUAUCGCCGCUAAUCCGUAUUAUUGGUACCUCAUAGAUCUCAACGGAAACGAUGACGAAGCGAAGGUUGGAUUUGGUUUUUCAAAUCCGGGCAAUACAUAUCAAGAUGGCCCCCUGUCCGGAAAUCCAUUACCUCCAGAUUGGGCUGUAGCGCCGUGCAUCGGGUCAGACAGAAGGCUUCCAAUGCCAGAGAAUUUUGUCUUUUCUGAGGAAGAGGUGAUCUGGACAGUGUGGAAGGACAAUGGAAAGCUGAACGUUCUUUAUAAUGGAGAAGAUUUUUUGAGAGAUGGGUAUCCUGGUGAGGAAUUCGAUUGUGAAAAUCCGACUAAGUUUCCAAACGGGAAAGAACAAUGGGAACCAUAUUGGGAUGCAGAAUUAACAAGUGUAUCCUUCUAUGGUUGGAAUACUAAUGAAAAAUUUGAUGGAUACAGAUUUAUCCCAAUUCCUAUUGACGCAGAACCAGAAAAUAAUGACGACAUUCAUGGUGACAACAAUGGUUCUUACAGUGGAACUACCUUGCUCUCUCGCAGUUCAGUGAUUGUAACUACUCUUCUGAUGGCUGCAUUCUUUUAGAGUUUCUAUUGAGUGUAAUAAUGUUAGGGACCUUAAGCAUGAUACGCAUAAGACAAGGACAUACGCACGCAUUAUUAAAUAAUCAUUAAUCAUAUUUGCUUUAUUAAGACUAUCAAGAAAGAAGCUUGAGAAGCCUGGCCUUGCCCUGCAUGCUAUAUAAUUAUAUAAUGAUUUAUUAAACACUUCCAGUGUGGAGGCAAUUGGUAUUUAAAUUCGUACUCGGACGAUUUAAAUGAUGUUGUAAAACUAAAAAUGUUUAGUAGAGCGUAAAUUAUUCUUAAAUAAUUCAUUUCAUUUAAAAUUAGUAUUGAUUGGAUACACCAAAAGUUUGGAGAUGGAACAGUUAUGAUGUAGUAGUCUUGGUUUUAGGGAUGAUUCGUUAGAUUUUUAAA